UUUUCCGAUGGCUGUCCUGCAUACCUGGACCAUAAUCAGGGCUUCUAUACCUAGUAAAUUAUUGGAGUGAAUUGUUCCUCGCGAGGUACUUCAAUAAUGCUUCUCGUCUGAAAUUCCUUUUUGUUUUGUUUGUGUGUAAGUAACAAAAACGUUAGCCGACAAACUGUUAAGUCGUGUCCUAGAUAUUUUGCAGCUUUUCAUCUCUAUUGGUUGUUAAUUUCUGUUUCCUGUUUAUGGACUGGAAUAUGUUUGUUGUAUACGAGCCAAAGUUCUACAUGUCUCUAGACUAUCAAUUGUAUGGUGGUUCAUAUAGUCGUGAUUAGAUAAAUGCCCUUACGAUUGAAACCCGAUUUAUACUAAUUGAACUAUAUUUGCGUUUAACUAUAUAUUAAUGCGUAAAACGUUUCUUGGUAUGGCAGACUUGUGUUGUUGUUGAACGAGGAAUGAGGAAGGCAUUUGGAGUGUAUUGCAGCGGUUCCCCCACUUCAAUUGAGAAAGUUUUUGUUCUACAAAAAACUUAGCUGGGUCGAUACUUGAGGGCUUGGAUCGAUUGGCAACUUGAGGUCAUAUAAAUUCAAUCUCGGUGCUUCUGGACUGCGUUUAGCUAGUUUUAUAGUGUUUCUCUUUCUGAAGGUGUUAAUGCUUCAACAUGCAUAACUGCCAAAGUGAGAAGCCUUUGCAUAUGGAAACAACUUGUGGCUCUCUUCUCUCUGAGAUGCAG